rnacentral:sRNA from 1 species
ACUGUGUAAAUUCAACAUGGCACAGCCAUGUGUUGGAAUAUUAUUCAGCCUUACAUAGGAAUGGGAUUCUGACCCUUGAACAGGAAUGAGAAUGGUAGCCAUUCUCCUAAGUCAGACCUCCAGGCAGUGCAAAGACAAACUAACACUGUAUGACACCACUGACUGAGGGCUGGAGUGUCACGAGUUAUAUAAAGACAGAAAGCAGGAAGGUUUACAGAGCCCCAGGGGUAACACGGGGUAGGGAGGUUGGAGGGUAGGUGUGUAAGUGGGACUGAGGCUCAGAGGAAUCAGACAUGGCUGCAUAAUAUGCAUGUGGCUGCCUCCCAUACCUGUGAGUCCUGCCUCCUCAGAAAGGCAAAUACAGCAAAAGAAAUGAACAGAGGGGACAGGCUCUGACCUACUGUAGACACACACAAAUGACGUGACAGAAUGUGCACACUGUUGCCUUGCUGCAGGAGCAGUUGAGCAUCCAGAAGGGUUGAAAGAGGCUGGAAGGGCUGAGCAUGGCACUGAGUUCAAGGACAUAGCUUUAGGUCCUGGGGAACCUAUGGUGCCCAGGCCCCAUCCUGCUGAUACUGAGGGACACAGCUGACAUUCAGGGUGAUGGCUGGGCUGGGCUGGGGAAUAGGUGUCAACUCUCACCUGCUCCAGCUUGAAGGUGUGCUUGUUGGUGUAAUUGAUGCAAAUCUGCUCGAAGCUAUUCUGUUCAAAGUCCUCAAAUCUGAAUAUGGCCAAGACACCAAUGGGCAAGCACUGGGAGACAAGGUUUGGUUAUAGCCAUGGUCUCCUGGGAAGACCAGCCAUCCUGAGAGGGGUUGCAGAAUAGGGGGUGUGUUUUCCUGACCUGUUUGGUACACAGUGUUUUUUUUGCCAAGGGUUCCUUUAUUACUUCUUGAUGGAACCAGGCCUGCACAUAUCCAGUAAGCACUGGGGUGGAACCUAGGCUUGGUGCCCACAUGCUGGCAUCGCUGAGGGUGAAGCCUAGCCUAUCACACUUCCAGACACCGAGUGCAGAUGGUUCUUACUGUUCCUAAUCCUGUGACUCUUUAUUUCAGUUCCUCAUGUCGUUGUCAUCCCAACAUAAACUUAUUGGAGAGCUACUUCAUAAGUGUCACUUUGUUACUGUGAGGAACUGUAAUGUAAAUGUCUGGUGUGCAGGAGCUCUGAUGCAGAACCCACAGAUUGAGAGCAGCUGCUGUAGAGGAUCAGAGUCCUCUGCCAGCCCUGGUGUUUGCAGAGAUCCCGUGGGUUCCUAGUCUCCAUGGCUUUUCCCAAGGACAGGGUUUAUUCUUGGCCGUCUCAGGGCCCGGGACCUCACAGAAAAAGCCUCUCCCAUGUCCUUCCUGUUGAGGAGGGUGUGGUUGGUCCUCAGCACAGUCCAGUCAAACAGGGCGCUGUAUAGACACUUGGCCGGGAGUCUCCUGCAGUUAUGGCCUCUGGACAAAGGGGUUUCUUACCUGGGGUGGGGCAACCGUGCCAGGUACAGACUGUGGUGCUCAGAGUCAAGACCUCAUUUUGUAUUAUUUUCAUAGACAAACUUGCCCAGGCUGGCCUCGAACUUGCCGUGUAGCCAAGGAUAAUUAAACAACUGAUCCUACUGCCUCUACCCCCCAUGGGCUGGGAUUGCAGAUGAAUGUCACCACAGCUGGCUUGUCACAGCUGCUAUAAAGCUCUAAAUCAGGGGCCUCAUGUGCAGGAGUGUUAUGACUAUGCCAUCCCCACCCCUCAACCAGGGUUUUCCCCUUUCUCCUGCUGAAGUCUGCUUAAUCCUACCCCUGGCCCCAGGACACAGCAGCUGUGGGAGAAUCAAAGCCUAGGGCUUCAGCACAGCAUGGGUACACAGCAUGGCAUGCAGGAUGUAUGGUUGUGAAAAAGCCAAGGAAGUGCUUCUCAGCUCACCCCCUGUAGGAGUGUCUAGUCCAUCCUUCUCCCCAUGGACGCAGACAUCUGCUUCCAACUGCCCGACAUGUCCCUCUGGUUUUGACUUUCCUGGAUGCCAUGGCAAUGCUACCACACAGAAUGCUGCCUCUACUGGGGACACUCACUUACACAACCUCUCUGGGGGACAUCUGAGCCAAUCUGGGGACUGGGUGCACUGCAGAGAGGUCAAGUCAUGUCGUGAAGUACCUUGUACCACAAAGGCUAACUGCUCAGGGAGUUGGCUGGAAAAGUAAGCUUAUUCCCCUGGGCAGGGUCCCCAUAGGGAAUGUCCCACACCCUGCUAUCAGCUCUAUUCCUGGUGCCAUCCAAAUUCAAUUUGCAAGCCCCAAUGCUCUGGAAGUGUCAAGAGCUAACAGGAAUGUACCAGGAAGUACACACUACGCAAAGGGAGAGGAUGGCACAGAGACCUAUGCUAUGGGUUAAGGGUCACGGAAAGGCCACCUCAAGCACAGGGGUCAGCCACCUCUUUCACAAACAAGGCAAAUGGUUGAUGCUCUCAAUGUGGGAGCCUGAGGGGCUCGGUGGCUCCUAAGCCCUGCAGCUGUAGCCAGAAGCAGCACUGAACAGGAUGUAAAUGCUGAGAAUGGCGAUGUCAAUAAAACUUUAUUUACAAAACCAAAUUGGUGGUGGUGGUGGUGGUGGCAGACUGGUUCAUUUCAACGCAUGCUGGAGUGGCUUGGCCACUGAGCAGCAGGAAACACAGAAAGGAAUGUGACCCGACCCAGGGCUCCCAACACACUAGACGUUGACCUUUGGCACCGGAACGGGGUCCCUGAAGGCAAGUCAGGACAGUCAGAUAAGAUGGCUCUAAGACCAAGACGGCUUAUUGGACCAAAGAUAAAUUUUGGGGACAAGAAUCUUCUUUUGGGUCAGUACAACAAAAUGAAGUAUUAGCAGUAAUUAAUGUAUUGCCAGAUUUACUCAUGAUGUAAAAAUAUUAUAGCCGAGUCAGCUUAUGUUGUAGGAGUAGUACAGAAUAUUGCAACUGCUGUUGUUUCUACAUCUAAGCCUAUAUUAAAUGUUAUUUUCACAUAUUAAAGGACUAUUGUUAUUCUGAAACUCUAGAAUGUUUAUUACACAUAUUAGAUCACAUUCAAGAUUGCCAGCAUCUUUAACACAUGGCAAUCAUAUGGUAGAUCAAUUAGUGGCAUUUGCUACCCCAGAAGAAAACAGUCAUAAUCAUGCCAAUACAGGAUAUUUGCAUAUUAAAUAUAAGGUUCCCUAUUCUGAAGCCAAACAAAUUAUUGCUAAUUGUCCUAUUUGUAAGCCUUCACUUAUAAAAUGUAUUCCAUCUGAAAUUAAUCACAGAAGAAUGCAACCUAAUACAUCAUGGCAGAUGGAUGGAACCCAUAUUUCUGAGUUUGGUCGCCUUACAUGUAAGCAUAGAUAAUUUUUCAAAAUUUGUAUGGGCUACACCAUUGCCAGGAGUACGCACUGCUCAUGUUAUACAGCAUCUAUUGGAAACUUCUGCUGUUAUGGGACGGCCUUCUAAAAUUAAAACUGAGAAUGGACCAACAUAUAUUUCUUAUCAAUUUAAACAAUUUUGUCUGCUCUUCCGGGAAAAUGGCGACUCCUGCAUGUGCUCCAGAGUUGCCGCCGGCUACGGAGCCUGCGACCGCCAUGGGCCCUACUGAGGAACCCUGCCUGCCAGGCCAGCCUCAGCCCAUGCGCAAUGUGCUUGCUGCCCCGCGGCUUCGAGCCCCCAGUUCCUGAGGACUUGGGGCAGCAGAGUUUGGCAGAGCUGCAGGAGAGGUUGAGGCGCCAGGAGAGACUUUUGCGCAAAGAAAAAUUCAUUUGCAAAUUGUCCGACAAAGG